ensembl:lincRNA
GUAUUUGUGCACCUCCCACCUGGCAGCCCCUGGGGUUUAGAGGGGACCCCUGCCCUCCUGCGGCGGUGAAAUGACACCGGUAAUCUUGGGUUGGGUACAGGAGGGUGGCAGGCUGCCUCUCUGAGGAGGGGCGGUCGGGCUGAGACCAGGAGAGAGACUUGGCCCCGCACAGGCGUCACAGCAGGGAGGAGGCGCUGAGGGGGGCACGUGCCUGGCACAGCCCGUGGAGGCUGGGGUGGCUGGAGCCAAGGCAGCCAGGGACACUGGAGUCACCUGGCCUUACUGAUUGGGUUUGGGGGUGACAGGGGUACCAAGGGCCAUUUGCUGAGGCAGGAUGCACUAAAGGGGGCAGUGGGACGUCCACAGCUGCCUGCGCAGGGGUCGCGUGCCUUGACCAGGUGCUGUCGUGAUCCCGUUCUACAGCUGUGGAAUCAGAGGCCCAGAGAGGCCAGCAGCUUGCCCAGGGCCAUCCAGCCUGGAGACUGCAGAGCCGCCCCUUGAACCGAGCACACCGCCCCAGAACUGGCAGAAGGCAGCCUGCAAGGCCCGGCCACCAUGAAGCUGAACGAGCGCAGCCUGGCCUUCUACGCGACGUGCGACGCGCCGGUGGACCACGCGGGCUUCCUGCACAAGAAGGGCGGGCGGCACGCGGCCUCGCACCGCCGCUGCUCAGGGGGCGCCCAGGCGCCGCCCCAGGGGCCGAGGAGAGAAGGCGACUGCGGCGCUGCGUCGGGCUUCCCGAACCCCCCUCCAGCGCCUGCCUGUCACCUUCCUCACGCCCCAGUCGUCCCCUGGGGACACCGGAUCGCCGUCUCCAGCCUGGCGCAAGCUUCUCACUCACCACAGUGCCCGACAACUCUUCAACCAGGAUGAAUCCCAGGGAGCUGGGACAGCCCUGGGUCGUGUUUACAGUCCUCGGUGGCCCGCACUGGGGACCCCUCCACCCCACCUAGACCUGUUUCUGAGGCCUCGGGGUUUCUGUCCUCAGCUCCCUGCUGGCUCGGCGGGCUGGGGCUUGGCUGAGAAGUCUGUUUUUCAGUAUGUAGGGUGUACUUGUUCCUGGCAGCAGGGCUGGGUGUUUCCACUGCUCCUCUCCCUCCUGGGUGCUGGCUGGCAGGGAUGGUGCCCUGGCCAUCCGGGUUGGCUGUGUGGCGACGCAGCAGCCCCGACGCUCGGAGCUGCACCCGCACCCGCACCCGCACCCGCAGGGGCCGGGCUCCCCUGGUGGCGUCGUCUUCCCCCAGCCCAGCCUCCUACCCAGUGGAGGCUGCCGGGGUCUGGUAUGGUCCCCAGCCCCUCUCCCAGCCCAGUGUGGGUGGCCGUGGCAGCUCUUGUCCAGGGACUCAGGGGCAUGGGAGGCUGUAGCCAGGCGGAGCGCAGGACCGAGCUUUGAGGCGACAUGGUGACCCCAGGCUCGUGCAGGUUUACCCACUCCAAAGGUACGGAAGGCCUCAUCUCCCGGGUGGAGGUGGGAAUGCGCCCUCCUGCCAGCGCAGGACAGAGUCAUGCCGCCUCUGCUGGCAGCCAGGGAGGGGGUGCAAGGGCUGAAAUAAACAAGUUUGUGAAGCGAUGCCUGACUGUCUUAUGUCGCUGCCGUCAAAACCCCUGCUGAGCUGGGUAGGGUGGCGCACAUCUAUAAUCCCAACAGUGUGGGAGGCUGAGGCAGGAGGAUGCAAGUUGGAGCCCACCCUGGGUAACUUAGUGACUUAAACAGAUCCUGUCUCAAAAUAAAAAAAAAUUUAAAAGGCUGGGAAUGUAGCUCAUUGUGAAGGCCCUAGAUUCAAUCCCCAGUACAAAAACAAAACAAAACUCUGGACUAACUUGGUGGCAGAGCCUAAAGCGGACCCUCAAAGGGACCCUUGUGGCUGACGCUGGGCCAGACGGGGUCUUACAACCUUGUAUGCCUCUCAGGCCAGAUGCUGCCCCCAUUUUAUAGAUGGAGCUGCUGAGACUCAGAGCAGUUAUGGGCAUUUGCCCAGGCCACAGAGCUAGAGAGCAGCAGAGCAGGAGUAAACCUCUGGGGUCCUGUGGAGAGCAGGGCCUCCGGGAGCAUGGGGAGGCACGCAGAGAAGAGGAUUUGAAAAUCGAUUGUGAGCCCGGCGUGGCACACACCCGCAAGCCCAGCACUCUGGAGGCUGAGGCAGGAGGAUCGAAGCAAGUUUGAGGCCAGCCUGGGCUCCAUAGUGAGUUCAAGGCCAGCCUGAACUACACAGUGAGGCCCUGUCUCAAAAACAAAACACCUCAGCUUAGGGAAUUGUGCCGCUUAUGUGCUGAGUAAUGCUUCCCAUCUCGUGGGACCACGGUUGAGGGGUGCUGGGGAAGUGGCUCCCUGAACUGGCUGAGUCAGGGUGCUGCCUGUGACGGUGGCCACAGGGCACGGGACGCUGAGGGGGGAGAGAGCUCCAGGACGGAGGGUCACAGGUGUGCCCUCACCUGCCAGUGUUUGCCCUGAGCUCACUGGGAGGAAACCAGUCAAAACCGGUUCCAGGGAUCCACCUGCCAAUGUGCGCCCCUUACCUCCUGGCCCAGAGGAGGGGUUCAGGGGACACUGUCAUCAGAGGAAUAUUCUGAGAAGCCACUUGGGGCAGGGGCGAGACCCUCAAGAGAGACACUCAGGUCAGAGGCUACACCUCCCUGCCCAACACCCAUCCACCCUACACUAUUAGUUCAGUUCAGUCGGUGAUAUUGCUGAUGUUUGACUUAUAGGCACUGGCUAAACUUUAGCUGCCAAAGAUAAUAAGAUGUGAGUAGAAGGGUCUUCUUACUUUUAAAAAGAGACACAAUGAAGAGCUCCUUAUUUUUCCCUGGCAGGGAGUUACGGAUGCUUGGAGCUGUGGCAGCCAUCUUGUCAUGAAGUAGGCCAUGCUAAAGAAAAUGCCACACCUGAGUUUGGCUCAUACUUGAAAAUGGCCUUGAACUGCUGUGGAGUGGUUCUGAGAACCUGCAUAUGUCUUAUUUGAUGUAAUAAAUGUCCCUGUUUGAAGCUGUGUGCAGGACUUGUUACUGAGAGGCUUCCUCAGUCAGGCAUGGUGGUGUAUGCCUGUAAUCCCAGCACUCAGGAGGACAAGGUAGGAGGAUUGCUGUGAGUUCAACGCCAUCCUGGGCUACAAAGUGAGUUUUUUUUUUUUGCUUUUUUUUUCCGGUACUGGAAAUUGAACUCACGACCUUGUGCUUGCCAGGCAGGUGCUGUGCCGCUGGGCUAAAUCCCCAGGCCCCACAAAGUGAGUUUAAGACCAGCCUGAAUGGCAUAGUAAAACCUUGUCUUUUUUUUUUUUUUUUGUCUUUUUGAGACAGGGUCUCACUAUGCAGUUCAGGCUGG